UGGUGGAGCGAUUUGUCUG
rnacentral:ncRNA from 2 species